rnacentral:lncRNA from 1 species
UGAUGCAUAGGAAAACCACAUUCUUCCCUGUGAGACGGACAGGGCAUGCUCCGACACUGAGUCUCCCUGCCUCGGUGUUGCCUUCAUUUCCUAAGGCCUCGAGGAAGAAUGCUGUCAGCUGAGGGUUUUCACACACCCCACAGGAAGUCGCGUGCUGUAGGAUCUGUGCAGCUGGGUGGCUGCUGUUCCCAGGACAGGUCAGCGUUUUAGACAGAAUGUCCUGUCCAGUGCCUGGGAACGUGUUCAGUCAGGAAACUCUUGGUUCGGGUGACAAGAGCAACUAGUACCUCAUUCUGCUGAGAAAUGAGUUUGUCAGAGACAUGCAGUUGGGAAAACCCAUUCCUCCUCACAUCCACACACUCUUCGCUGCCCUUGUGUGAUCCAUGAAAGAGUGGGACCCAUGUGGGAGAAACCGAGAAACGGAAUGGUAGCUCUAUAACUUGAUGCACUCAUGGCGUAUUCAUAACCUAGUCACUGACAAGAUUUUAAGAGUGUUCCGUCCUUGAGUCAUCCAUGCUGUCGAGAAAAUGCAGGAUAGGCAAAUGUCUCCUAAGAGUCCAGGCCAGAAUUUCCCUUGUGUUGAACCACAGCCCCUUUUUAAAAAUGUAUGCUCUUAUUGCUCUGGCACAGUUCUCGAGAACGAGCUGCAGGUGCUUCUGCUGCCUUAUUUCUGUUGAAGCCCUUGUUCUUGUGAAGUGGGUGUAACAUAAGAGUGCUCAUCCUGGAAUCUGCCAGAAGUAAGGGCUCAUCGUGUAGGACCAAACUCUUAAGACAACGUUCCCCCAACAUCAGCUAUACAAGUUUAGCAUACUGUUAACCUAAAAAUAUGUUCUACAUAAAAACAGUUUUACAUAAAACUGAACAUGAAGCGUCUGCAUCAAAAUAAGUUUUAUAGUUGUAUGCACUAAAUAAUUCACCCAUUCAGUACAUGUUUAUGAAGUACUGUGCUUCGAGUUACUGUGUUACAUGCUGGGAUUAUUGCAAAAAGUGAAAGAAGAGGAUCUAAUUGUAGCUCAGAUUCCAAAAGGAAGUUCAUUAUAAGGAAGUAAAAAGACAGCGGCUUCCCCACAGCGUGGGGAGAACCCUGGGGGAUGCCAAGGAGAGGGCGGCCGGCCUCAGAGAGGAAUGGCAAGAGUCGUGUAGAUGAGUGGUUCCAAGCCUUGGACAUGGGUCGGUUCACCUAGAGGGCUUGUCAAACGCAGACUGCUUAGCCUUAUUGCCGGAGUUUCUGAUCCAAGAGUCAGAGGUGGGGCCAGAGAAUCUGCAUUUCCAACCAAUGUCCAAGUGGUGCUGAUGCUCUUGGUCUGGGGCCACGCUUGGAGAACCACUGUUCUAUAGAAAUUCAUGGUAAAAAUAGGAAGAUUAAGAACUCUGGAAAAUGCAUAAGGUCAGCACAGUAAUCUGAGCCAAGUUCCAACAUCACAUAGAGAAGCUCAGAGAACUCCCAGAGGAGAUGGUUCAGACCGGAGGGGAGAGAGGCUGUCUCUUGCCCACACCUCUUAAGCCUCAUUAGAAAGUCCCUUAAUGAAAAGGCAUCAGAGAUGGACACCUGAAUCUGUCACCAUCCUGUGGCUUAUUUUCCAUCUGUGCUUUCAUUGACGGAAUGUCUGUUUUGCUCUUGCAGUGUGAGAAAUACAAAAAGGGCUCCAAUGGAUCUUCUCACCCAGGGCAGCCAGGCCUGGGCCGCCCCCUUCCCUCCGGGUCAGUGAUGGGUUAGCAUUUCAGGGCCAAUAUAAGUUGCCGGGCACCUGGAAGACAACCGCACUGGCAAGAUUCUGUUUAAGAGUCCAGGGCCACUGGGGAAGUUUGGUGGAGAGGGACACAAGAGGGUUUUGUGUGGACUGCAUUGUGUCCCCCUAAAAUCAUCUGUUGAACCCCUAACCCCCAAUGUGACUGUACUUGGACACAAGGCCUUUUUAGGGGUAAUUACGGUUAAAGGAGGUCGUCAGGGCCGAGCCCUAAUCCAAUGGGAUGAGUGUCCUUCUAAGAAGAGGAAGAGACAUUGAGUGCCCACACCAACAAAAGGCCAUGUGAGGUCACAGUGAGAAGGUGACCGUCUGCAAGCCAAGGAGAGACCUCAGGAGCAAUCAUAUCUGCCAGUACUUUCAUCUUGGACUUCAGCCUCCAGACCUGUGAGAAAAUAAAUUUCUGCCGUGGAAGCCCCACCGUCUGUGGUCGUUCGUUGUGGCAGCCUGAGCAAGUAAUACAGGGUGCAACCAAGGCAAACUGUCAAUCAAAUAUGAGAGAUGGAACAAAUAAGAGACAUCUUCGGAAAGACAGAGACCUAAACUUUUUCUGCUCACGUACCCUUUCUGAGGAAAUUACUCAAGGGUAUGCUUCAAGAAAAUAAGGAAGGAAAACAAGAAAGAGAAGGAAAUGAAAUACAGAGAGCAAUUAGUAUAACCCACACAGGAGAAGGGCAGUGACCAGUGAAGAGAAGUCCCAGAAUGAGAACUGGCUGGCAGUCCUAGAUAGCAACCAGUCCAGGCCAGAGCAGGAAGUUGUGAUGGCCCACAAGGGGUGUGUCUAAGAAAAGUGGACUGUGUCAUAUAGGUGCUGUCAGGGAAAGCCUGGGUGACUUGGAAGGUAAGAUGAAGACAUCUUUCUUUCAAGGGACUUUAGGAUUCUAGGAAAAACAUUCUACUUGGGAAAACCAUGGUUAAAAUAUGAACCAUGGUUUCAGCAAUAAGAGCACAGAAAAGAGUCUGUUUGACCCAGAUACCAGAAAUACCCUCCUUUCAGUGGUAAAGAGCUCAUAACAUUUGACUGUAAAGGAGGAGAAGUAGUUCUUGCCAUGUUGGACUAGCAGAGGAUAACACUUGAGUUGGCAUAAUGUAAACACUGUAUUUUUUCAAAUUUCAGAAUCAACCCAUAGACAAUGCAUGGAAGACAACUAUAGUAACAGAACAGAAUUCAGACAUUAUUAGGUGUGAAAUUGUGAAAAAGAAAAAUUACAGAGGCACAAUUUGAGAGGUAGAAGAUGGAAAAGAGUGGUAAAGGGCAGUCAUCAUACUCCAGGAGGAAUUAACACACUGACUAAAUUUGAUGCAACCAAAAUAUUGAUGUUUACAUGUUGUUUAUUUCUCUUGUGCUGGUAGUUACAUGGGUAUAUAAUUUUGUCAAAACUCAUCAAAAUGUACAUUUAAAAUGUUACUUUUUAUUGUAUGUAAAUUAUACCUCACUAAAUUUGAUUUUUAAAAAUUAAUCAUUAAAUUUAAAAUGCAACCAAUAGAAGAAUAAAAAUCUACACUUCUGAAGAUCUGGGGAGAGGAAUCAGAAAUGAGGGGUAAAUUAGGCAAAGCAUUGUUUUUCUUUUUUUUUUUGUUUUUGAGAAAGAUUAGCCCUGAGCCAACUGCUGCCAAUUCUCCUGUUUUUGCUGAGGAAGACUGGCCCUGAGCUAACAUCUGUGUCCAUCUUUCUCUACUUUUUUUUAUAUGUGGGACGCCUAGCACAGCAUGGCUUUGCAAGCGGUGCCAUGUCCACACCUGGGAUCUGAACCAGCGAAUCCCGGGCCACCGAAGCAGAAGAUAUGAACUUAACUGCUGUGCCACCGGGCCAGUCCCAAAGCCUUGUUUUUCUUAACAAGGAGUUAAUAAAUAUUUAAGUAGAUAAAUAAAAAAGCACUUAAAAAAAUUAUGAAGUCUCUAUCAUUAAAACAGUGUGGCAUUUGUGCAUGAAUAAACAGACUAAUGAAAUAAAACAAAAUCCAUAGUGCCAAUUAUAU